rnacentral:rRNA from 1 species
UAAACGGCGGCCGUAACUAUAACGGUCCUAAGGUAGCGAAAUUCCUUGUCGGGUAAGUUCCGACCUGCACGAAUGGAGUAACGACUCCCCAACUGUCUCAACCAGAGACUCAGCGAAAUUGAAGUACGAGUAAAGAUGCUCGUUAGCUGCAGAAGGACGGAAAGACCCCGUGGACCUUUACUAUAGUUUGGUAUUGGUUCUUGGUCUGAGUUGUGUAGGAUAGGUGGGAGACUAGGAAGCAUUGGCGCCAGUCAGUGUGGAGUCGUCCUUGAAAUACCACCCUUCUCAUACUGGGAAUCUAACUUCGGCCCGUUAUCCGGGUCAGGGACAGUGCCAGAUGGGUAGUUUGACUGGGGCGGUCGCCUCCUAAAUGGUAACGGAGGCGCUCAAAGGUUCCCUCAGACUGGUCGGCCAUCAGUCGUUGAGUGCAAUCGCACAAGGGAGCUUGACUGCGAGACCGACAAGUCGAGCAGGUACGAAAGUAGGAGAUAGUGAUCCGGCGGUAGCGUGUGGAAGCGCCGUCGCUCAACGGAUAAAAGGUACCCCGGGGAUAACAGGCUAAUCUUCCCCAAGAGUCCAUAUCGACGGGAAGGUUUGGCACCUCGAUGUCGGCUCAUCGCAUCCUGGGGCUGAAGCAGGUCCCAAGGGUUGGGCUGUUCGCCCAUUAAAGCGGUACGCGAGCUGGGUUUAGAACGUCGUGAGACAGUUCGGUCCCUAUCCUCUGCAGCCGGAAGAGAUUUGACGAAAGCUGUCCCUAGUACGAGAGGACCGGGAUGGACGUAGCUCUCGUGUGCCAGUUGUCCCGCCAGGGGCAUGGCUGGUUAGCGACCUACGGUAGGGAUAACCGCUGAAAGCAUCUAAGCGGGAAGCCUGUUCGAAGAUGAGAUCUCUCACCGGGUUAACCGGGUAAGGCCCGUGGAAGACCACCACGUUGAUAGGCCGGAAGUGUAAGCACAGCAAUGUGUUCAGCUGACCGGUACUAAUCGGCCGAGGGCUUGGUUUCACCAUUC